UACGGAGGGUGCGAGCGUUAAUCGGAAUUACUGGGCGUAAAGCGCAUGCAGGUGGUUGGUUAAGUCAGAUGUGAAAGCCCAGGGCUCAACCUUGGAAUCGCAUUUGAAACUGGCUGACUAGAGUACUGUAGAGGGGGGUAGAAUUUCAGGUGUAGCGGUGAAAUGCGUAGAGAUCUGAAGGAAUACCGGUGGCGAAGGCGGCCCUCUGGACAGAUACUGACACUCAGAUGCGAAAGCGUGGGGAGCAAACAGG
rnacentral:rRNA from 1 species